ACCACCAACAUUACAAUGCCACGUGGCUACUUCCAAAAACAAAAACCAAUUCCACGUGGCUCACCAUAUCAGUCCAAACACGCAGGAUAAGAAGGAAACAAAAAGGAAAAACAGCCAAAACCCAGCCCAACUCGAAGCUAUGUUUACCACGCCCUUUCAUCCUCUCCAUUACUGUCAUCUCCGUUUCAUCUCCUAGCCAUUGUUCAUCAUUAAUUCCAAAUUGACGACGUCUACCUUGAAAUUUACGAGCAUUGAAUAUCUAUGUUCUUUAAUUCCAGCUUCAAUUCGAUCCCAUCAUCGCAAACACACUCGCAAAAGCUUCAAUUCGACCUCGAAUCAGAAUCAAACUCCGAAAUCACCUUUAAUUCGAUCCGAUCAUCUUCUCCCUAACUUUAAUUGCCUUCAUUCACAAAUUAAUUUCCCCCAAAAACAUUAACAAUUUCUUAAAUCAUGUUGGUUACGGGUUGUUUGCACAGUCAUUGACAUUCCAUCUCUCAUCUCUUAAUUCAAUCCUAACUCUAUUUAAUACUGUUAGGUUUUCCAUGAGUAAUGAUAUGACCAAGAGCUACGUACAACCAUACAGGACCAUCACAACAAUAGAUGAGAUACCUACAACAAGCACAACCCCACUACAAAACAAGACUCAAUCCAGCUAACGGACGACGGAACAAACUCCUUAAAGAUGAGCAAACUUCAUAUGCUCCUACGCAUUGCAUGAGUUCUUCUUUUAAAGGGGAUACUACUCCAUACUAUUUUAUGUUUUAAAACCGUGUUAAGAGAUGCAAAUUUCUGGGUUUUGUUAUUUGUUUUGCCCUUUUAAGUUUACUGGUAAGAGAAAAGUUAAUCAUGGUGUCUACUACUAUGAAUGAUAUUAUUGUGUAACCGUGAGCUCAUCAAAUGUUGAUGAUGGGUCUAAGUUGCAUAAACUAAGUGGACAUUUUCACUUCACCAAUUAACAAAACCAAUUGGAAAUUCUAUUGGUUUUAGCAAGUAAAGAAACCAGUUACAUUUGUUGCU